rnacentral:rRNA from 1 species
UACAGAGGUCCCGAGCGUUGUUCGGAUUCAUUGGGCGUAAAGGGUGCGUAGGCGGCGCGGUAAGUCGGGUGUGAAAUCUUGGAGCUUAACUCCGAAACUGCAUUCGAUACUGCCGUGCUUGAGGACUGGAGAGGAGACUGGAAUUUACGGUGUAGCGGUGAAAUGCGUAGAUAUCGUAAGGAAGACCAGUGGCGAAGGCGGGUCUCUGGACAGUUCCUGACGCUGAGGCACGAAGGCCAGGGGAGCAAACGGG